GGCCCGCGGGGGAGGAGGGGCAGCGCAGCGCGGGCGCCCCCACGUGGCGGCUCGGCCGGGCCGGGACCGCCGGGAUAGCCCGGGAUAAUACGGGACAAACCGAAAUAACCCGGCUGCGCCCCGCUCCCGUGCCUCGCCCGGGCUGCCUGAAGGGACCCCAUGCUGAGUCUGGUGGCUGGGAACGAGGCCAGGACAGCAUCCCUCCCAGAGCAACUGAACUGAAAUUACAGCUGAUUAACCUUUCAUUCAUUUCCUGAUUUAUGGUAUAACACAAGUUUUUUUCAGGUAAAAUAAAGAUGCUUUUUAAAUGAA